rnacentral:rRNA from 1 species
AUUGAACGCUGGCGGCAGGCCUAACACGUGCAAGUCGAACGAGUGGCGGACGGGUGAGUAAUGUCUGGGAAACUGCCCGAUGGAGGGGGAUAACUACUGGAAACGGUAGCUAAUACCGCAUACCAUCGGAUGUGCCCAGAUGGGAUUAGCUAGUGGGUGGGGUAACGGCUCACCUAGGCGACGAUCCCUAGCUGGUCUGAGAGGAUGACGAGCCACACUGGAACUGAGACACGGGCAAGAGGCGUACGGGAGGCAGCAGUGGGGAAUAUUGCACAAUGGGGGAAAGCCUGAUGCAGCCAUGACGCGUGUAUGAAGAAGGCGGUCGGGUUGUAAAGUACUUUCAGCGAGGAGGCGUUACUCGAAGAAGAAGGACCGGCUAACUCCGUGCCAGCAGCCGCGGUAAUUG